rnacentral:rRNA from 1 species
UACGUAGGGUGCGAGCGUUGUCCGGAAUUAUUGGGCGUAAAGAGCGUGUAGGCGGCCAGGUAGGUCUGCUGUGAAAACUCGAGGCUUAACCUCGAGAUGUCGGCGGAAACCAUCUGGCUAGAGUCCGGAAGAGGAGAAUGGAAUUCCCGGUGUAGCGGUGAAAUGCGCAGAUAUCGGGAAGAACACCCGUGGCGAAGGCGGUUCUCUGGGACGGUACUGACGCUGAGACGCGAAAAGCGUGGGGAGCGAACAGG